GACGAACGCUGGCGGCGUGCUUAACACAUGCAAGUCGAACGGAAAGGCCCCUUUGGGGGUACUCGAGUGGCGAACGGGUGAGUAACACGUGAGUAACCUGCCCUUGACUUCGGGAUAACUUCAGGAAACUGGGGCUAAUACCGGAUAGGAAUCCUUGCUGCAUGGUGGGGGUUGGAAAGCUUCGGCGGGUUUGGAUGGACUCGCGGCUUAUCAGCUUGUUGGUGGGGUAGUGGCUUACCAAGGCUUUGACGGGUAGCCGGCCUGAGAGGGCGACCGGCCACAUUGGGACUGAGAUACGGCCCAGACUCCUACGGGAGGCAGCAGUGGGGAAUAUUGCACAAUGGGCGGAAGCCUGAUGCAGCAACGCCGCGGGCGGGAUGACGGCCUUCGGGUUGUAAACCGCUUUCAGCAGGGGCGAAGCUUGUGGUGACGGUACCUGCAGAAGAAGCACCGGCUAACUACGUG
rnacentral:rRNA from 1 species